CCAACCAUGUUUCAGGCUCAUCCCCUUCCCCUGAAUCCUGUGGUCUUCUCCCCUGAUGUCUUGGAAGCGAUGGAUCAGUUUGUUCCAUCACAGCUUGGCACCCCUGUUAGCCCGGCUACUCCAAAGAAAACCCCACCAAAGAGGAGACGAACCAAGAAGGACGCAACAACCACCAGUG